UGUGCAUUUAGUAAUGAUUUCUUUUCCUUUUUAAUCUCUCGUAUCUUUUCUCCCAUCCCCCCUCACUCUUAAAUUCUGUCUCAUAUAUUCAUUCAUAAUAAUUAAAAAAAAAAACUAAACGUGUUAUCUUUUUGUUGUAUUCUUUUGAAAAUCGAUCGGAUCGACAAGAAUGAAUCUUCAUUUGCUCAAUUUUUUGUCAUAAAGAUGAUAUGAAUUUUAAGGAGAGAGAAAGAGACGAAGGAUUAAAGUUUGAUCUAUAGUGGUUUUGACAAAAUACAAGGGCAAAAUAUCAUGUCAUCGUCGAAUUCUCCAUGUGCAGCAUGCAAAUUCUUGCGUAGAAAAUGCACACAAGAAUGUGUUUUUGCGCCAUAUUUCCCACCAGAUCAACCUCGAAAAUUCGAGAACGUACACAAGGUGUUUGGGGCUAGUAACGUGGCUAAAUUACUCAACGAAUUAAACGCGACUCAACGGGAAGAUGCUGUAAAUUCCCUAGCUUAUGAAGCGGAAUAUCGCCUCCGUGAUCCGGUUUAUGGUUGUGUUGGACUAAUUUCAAUACUUCAGCAUAAGCUUAAGCAAGUUCAAGAUGAUUUGUUGAAUGCUAAGAAAGAUUUAGCAACGUAUAUUGGUCCACAAGCAAUGUUGCCAAUGCUUCAACACUCUGGGUAUAUUCAACAGCAUCCCAAUAAUCCCUCUUCUUCUAAUAUGAUGGCUUAUAAUAUGCAGCCAAUGGGAUUGCAAACAGGGAUGCAACAGCAUGGUGCUCAAUUAAUGAUGCGUGAUCCACAACAACAACAACAACAACACCAAGUGAUUGAAGCUCAUCAAUUAGCCGCGGUAAUGGCUGCAAGGGAACAGGAGAUGAUGAGAACUUAUGAGCAACCACAACAACAACAAUUCAACAGCGGAUAUGAUUCUGCAGGGCCAGUAACGGCAACAGGAUUUCAUCAAAUGAGUUCAUCAAUGUCACCUUCAUUGGCAUUAGCGUCAUUUGACAAUGAUCCUUACCAGAUUCAACAAGCCCAGCAGGAGCAGCAUCACGGCCAGGUUCAGGUUCAGCCACAUCAAUUGCUUCAGCAACAACAACAGCUACCGCAACAACCACAAACACCACAGCAGCAACAGAGAGCCAACAGUGAAGAGGAAAGGAGCAUUGGUCCUUCAUGUUAAUGUUACAAGUGAUUUUUUCUUCUAACAAAUAUUUUUAAUCUUGGUUGCUUGAUGUGUGGAGCUAUCAAGUAUAAUAAUUUUAGAAUAAAAUUUUACAAAGAAGAUGGAGAUGGAGAUGAGAAUAUUCAACUUUUAUAGUGAAAGGUGGCAAGUAUCUGGCCUUUUUUUUAAAGAUUUUUCUUUCUUAUCACCCCCUUUUGAGUUGUUGAAGGGCAUGAUUUAAUUAUUGUGGGAGGUGAAUUAUUUUAACAUAUAAUAGAAAAUUAGUACUAUUGUCUUUCAUUUACGCUGACUUUAUGCUACAAUCAUACAUGUUUUUUUUUUAA